UACGGAGGGAGCUAGCGUUGUUCGGAAUUACUGGGCGUAAAGCGCACGUAGGCGGCUUUGUAAGUUAGAGGUGAAAGCCCAGGGCUCAACCCUGGAAUUGCCUUUAAGACUGCAUCGCUUGAACAUCGGAGAGGUAUGUGGAACUCCGAGUGUAGAGGUGAAAUUCGUAGAUAUUCGGAAGAACACCAGUGGCGAAGGCGACAUACUGGCUCAUUACUGACGCUGAGGCUCGAAAGCGUGGGGAUCAAACAGG
rnacentral:rRNA from 1 species